rnacentral:rRNA from 1 species
AUACGUAGGGGGCGAGCGUUGUCCGGAAUGAUUGGGCGUAAAGGGCGCGUAGGCGGCCUGUUAAGUCUGGAGUGAAAGUCCUGUUUUCAAGAUGGGAAUUGCUUUGGAUACUGAUGGGCUUGAGUGCAGGAGAGGUUAUCGGAAUUCCCGGUGUAGCGGUGAAAUGCGUAGAGAUCGGGAGGAACACCAGUGGCGAAGGCGGGUAACUGGACUGCAACUGACGCUGAGGCGCGAAAGUGUGGGGAGCAAACAGGAUUAGAUACCCUGGUAGUCCACACUGUAAACGAUGAAUGCUAGGUGUAAGAGGUAUCGACCCCUUUUGUGCCGGAGUUAACACAAUAAGCAUUCCGCCUGGGGAGUACGGCCGCAAGGUUGAA